rnacentral:rRNA from 1 species
AACGAACGCUGGCGGCAUGCCUAACACAUGCAAGUCGAACCAUGGCUUCGGCCAUAGUGGCGCACGGGUGAGUAACACGUGGGAAUCUACCUGACAGUGGGGGAUAACAGAGGGAAACUUCUGCUAAUAGCGCAUACGCACCUUCGGGGGGAAAGAUUUAUCGCUGACAGAUGAGGCCGCGUACGAUUAGGUAGUUGGUGGGGUAAAGGCCUACCAAGCCUUCGAUCGGUAGCUGGUCUGAGAGGAUGAUCAGCCACACUGGGACUGAGACACGGCCCAGACUCCUACGGGAGGCAGCAGUGGGGAAUAUUGGACAAUGGGCGCAAGCCUGAUCCAGCAAUGCCGCGUGAAUGAUGAAGGCCUUAGGGUUGUAAAGUUCUUUCGGGUGGGACGAUGAUGACGGUACCACCAGAAGAAGCCCCGGCUAACUUCGUGCCAGCCGCCGCAGUAA